rnacentral:rRNA from 1 species
UACGUAGGGUCCGAGCGUUGUCCGGAAUUAUUGGGCGUAAAGGGCUCGUAGGCGGUCUGUUGCGUCGGGAGUGAAAACUUACAGCUUAACUGUGAGCGUGCUUUCGAUACGGGCAGACUUGAGGCAUUCAGGGGAGACGGAAUUCCGUGGUGUAGCGGUGAAAUGCGUAGAUAUCUGGAGGACACCGGUGGCGAAGGCGGCAUCCUGGACCGACACUGACACUGAGGAGCGAAAGCCAGGGAGCAA